rnacentral:hammerhead_ribozyme from 1 species
GUAUUGCUGAAGAGUCCGAAACUAGGACGAUAUAAACAGCUGUCCAAUAC